CCUACGGGUGGCAGCAGUCGAGGAUCAUUCACAAUGGGGGAAACCCUGAUGCUGCGACGCCGCGUGGGGGAAUGAAGGUCUUCGGAUUGUAAACCCUUGCCACGUGGGAGCAAAUUAAAAAGAUAGUACCACAAGAGGAAGCGACGGCUAACUCUGUGCCAGCAGCCGCGGUAAUACAGAGGUCUCAAGCGUUGUUCGGAUGCACUGGGCGUAAGGCGUGCGUGGGCUGUUUCGUAAGUCGUGUGUGAAAGGCGCGGGCCCAACCCCCGGACGGCACAUGAUACUGCGAGACUAGAGUAAUGGAGGGGGAACCGGAAUUCUCGGUGUAGCAGUGAAAUGCGUAGAUAUCAGGAGGAACACUCGUGGCGAAGGCGGGUUCCUGGACAGUAACUGACGCUGAGGCACGAAGGCCAGGGGAGCGAAAGGGAUUAGAUACCCGAGUAGUC
rnacentral:rRNA from 1 species